UAGAAGUCAUAAUAUUAGGAGUAAUGAUGGUAAUUAAGGAGGAAAGAAGAAAGCAGAAAAUGCGGUUGGAAAAUUAGGUGCUUAAAGUUAGUUGAGUCUAUCCCAGUAUCUAACAGUCAACUCUCUCUCUCUCUCUCUCUUUACCUAGCUAUUAUUAUUAUUUUUAUUUUAAAACAAUGACCUGACAUAUGCAUAUGUCUUUUCUCUCUCUACUCUCUACACAUGUAAUUCAAUUCAAUUAAAGAAGAGACAGAGAAGUUCGUCUUUGUUUGUAUACCCUUAAAUCAUGCAACCCCUUAUUCUCAUUCCUACUCCCUGUC
rnacentral:lncRNA from 1 species